UGGGUACUGGUUACUGGGUGCACUUGCUUU
rnacentral:piRNA from 1 species